rnacentral:rRNA from 1 species
AGUCACGAGUUUGAUCAUGGCUCAGAACGAACGCUGGCGGCAUGCCUAACACAUGCAAGUCGAACGAGACCUUCGGGUCUAGUGGCGCACGGGUGCGUAACGCGUGGGAAUCUGCCCUUGGGUUCGGAAUAACUUCGGGAAACUGAAGCUAAUACCGGAUGAUGACGUAAGUCCAAAGAUUUAUCGCCCAAGGAUGAGCCCGCGUAGGAUUAGCUAGUUGGUGAGGUAAAGGCUCACCAAGGCGACGAUCCUUAGCUGGUCUGAGAGGAUGAUCAGCCACACUGGGACUGAGACACGGCCCAGACUCCUACGGGAGGCAGCAGUGGGGAAUAUUGGACAAUGGGCGAAAGCCUGAUCCAGCAAUGCCGCGUGAGUGAUGAAGGCCUUAGGGUUGUAAAGCUCUUUUACCCGGGAUGAUAAUGACAGUACCGGGAGAAUAAGCUCCGGCUAACUCCGUG